GUAUAUGGUGCGGACGCCCAGCGCUUUGUGAUACAUUUUCGAAGAGUCGAGUUGUUUGGGAAUGCAGCUCAAAUUGGGUGGUAAAUUCCAUCUAAAGCUAAAUAUUGGCGAGAGACCGAUAGCGAACAAGUACCGUGAGGGAAAGAUGAAAAGCACUUUGGAAAGAGAGUUAACAGUACGUGAAAUUGUUGGAAGGGAAACGCUUGAAGUCAGACUUGCUUGCCGAGCAAUCGGUUUGCAGGCCAGCAUCAGUUUUCCGGGAUGGAUAAUGGUACAGAGAAGGUAGCAGUUUCGGCUGUGUUAUAGCUCUCUGCUGGAUACAUCUUGGGGGACUGAGGAACGCAGUGUGCCUUUGGCGGGGGUUUCGACCUCUUCACACUUAAGAUGCUGGUGGAAUGGCUUUAAACGACUCG
rnacentral:rRNA from 1 species